CAGUCAACUUAAAAAAGAAAUUGUCAAC
rnacentral:sRNA from 1 species